UGAAAAGCCACUAAGCUUCAGCUUAAGAAAAACCGUACCGCAAACCGACACAGGUAGGCAGAGUGAGAAUCCCAAGGCGCUUGAGAGAACUCGGGUGAAGGAACUAGGCAAAAUGGCACCGUAACUUCGGGAGAAGGUGCGCCCUUUGGUGUGGUCACGUGCGUGACUGAGCAUCGAAGGGUCGCAGUAACCUGGCCGCUGCGACUGUUUAUCAAAAACACAGCACUCUGCAAACACGAAAGUGGACGUAUAGGGUGUACGCCUGCCCGGUGCUGGAAGGUUAAUUGAUGGGGUCAGCCGCAAGGCGAAGCUCUUGAUCGAAGCCCCAGUAAACGGCGGCCGUAACUAUAACGGUCCUAAGGUAGCGAAAUUCCUUGUCGGGUAAGUUCCGACCUGCACGAAUGGCGUAACGACAGCGGCGCUGUCUCCACCCGAGACUCAGUGAAAUUGAAAUCGCUGUGAAGAUGCAGCGUUCCCGCGGCAAGACGGAAAGACCCCGUGAACCUUUACUAUAGCUUUACACUGAACGUUGAGUUCUUCUGUGUAGGAUAGGUGGGAGGCUAUGAAACCAGGACGCUAGUUCUGGUGGAGCCAUCCUUGAAAUACCACCCUGAAGUGCUUGACGUUCUAACCUAGGCCCGUAAUCCGGGUCAGGGACCGUGUAUGGUGGGUAGUUUGACUGGGGCGGUCUCCUCCCAAAGAGUAACGGAGGAGCACGAAGGUACGCUCAGCGCGGUCGGACAUCGCGCACUGUGUGCAAAGGCAUAAGCGUGCUUGACUGCGAGAUCGACGGAUCAAGCAGGUACGAAAGUAGGUCUUAGUGAUCCGGUGGUUCUGUAUGGAAGGGCCAUCGCUCAACGGAUAAAAGGUACUCCGGGGAUAACAGGCUGAUACCGCCCAAGAGUUCAUAUCGACGGCGGUGUUUGGCACCUCGAUGUCGGCUCAUCACAUCCUGGGGCUGUAGCCGGUCCCAAGGGUAUGGCUGUUCGCCAUUUAAAGUGGUACGCGAGCUGGGUUCAGAACGUCGUGAGACAGUUCGGUCCCUAUCUGUCGUGGGCGUUGGAGAUUUGAGGGGGGCUGCUCCUAGUACGAGAGGACCGGAGUGGACGUUCCGCUGGUGUUCGGGUUGUCAUGACCAUGGCAUUGCCCGGUAGCUACGAACGGAAGUGAUAACCGCUGAAAGCAUCUAAGCGGGAAGCACGCCCCAAGAUGAGAUCUCCCGAGAGCUUGACUCUCCUAAAGGCACCAUCAAGACUAGGUGGUUGAUAGGUCAGGUGUGGAAGCGCAGCAAUGCGUUGAGCUAACUGAUACUAAUGAGCCGUGAGGCUUGAUC
rnacentral:rRNA from 1 species